AGUGAACGCUGGCGGUAGGCCUAACACAUGCAAGUCGAACGGCAGCACAGUAAGAGCUUGCUCUUACGGGUGGCGAGUGGCGGACGGGUGAGGAAUACAUCGGAAUCUACUUUUUCGUGGGGGAUAACGUAGGGAACCUUACGCUAAUACCGCAUACGACCUACGGGGGAAAGCAGGGGAUCUUCGGACCUUGCGCGAUUGAAUGAGCCGAUGUCGGAUUAGCUAGUUGGCGGGGUAAAGGCCCACCAAGGCGACGAUCCGUAGCUGGUCUGAGAGGAUGUUCAGCCACACUGGAACUGAGACACGGUCCAGACUCCUACGGGAGGCAGCAGUGGGGAAUAUUGGACAAUGGGCGCAAGCCUGAUCCAGCCAUACCGCGUGGGUGAAGAAGGCCUUCGGGUUGUAAAGCCCUUUUGUUGGGAAAGAAAAGCAGCAGGUUAAUACCCCGCUGUUCUGACGGUACCCAAAGAAUAAGCACCGGCUAACUUCGUG
rnacentral:rRNA from 1 species